rnacentral:rRNA from 1 species
AUUGAACGCUGGCGGCAGGCUUAACACAUGCAAGUCGAGCGGGGGAAGGUAGCUUGCUACUGGACCUAGCGGCGGACGGGUGAGUAAUGCUUAGGAAUCUGCCUAUUAGUGGGGGGCAGCAUCUCGAAAGGGAUGCUAAUACCGCAUACGUCCUACGGGAGAAAGCAGGGGAUCUUCGGACCUUGCGCUAAUAGAUGAGCCUAAGUCGGAUUAGCUAGGUGGUGGGGUAAAGGCCGACCAAGGCGACGAUCUGUAGCGGGUCUGAGAGGAUGAUCCGCCACACUGGGACUGGGACACGGCCCAGACUCCUACGGGAGGCAGCAGUGGGGAAUAUUGGACAAUGGGGGGAACCCUGAUCCAGCCAUGCCGCGUGUGUGAAGAAGGCCUUAUGGUUGUAAAGCACUUUAAGCGAGGAGGAGGCUACUGAGACUAAUACUCUUGGAUAGUGGACGUUACUCGCAGAAUAAGCACCGGCUAACUCUGUGCCAGCCGCCGCCGUAA